UGAAGGAACUGAGUGCGCCACGACCAAAUUUGGAAUCACAGACACUGCGGAAAGAGACAUUGCUAUCAAACGUUGUUUCAGAGAUGCAGCGGACCAUGCAAAGGCUUCGAUACCGCUUAUCGAGGAGGAAGCAGUGGUUUUCGACGCCAUAAGGGCCUGCGUUGUCAAAGGUUUGGAAGCACUGAAGCAAUGAGCGCAAGGGGAAGCAGGAGGAGCUACGAGAGCAGCUAGUAGACAGCUUGUCCAGGAGUUUCUGCGCAUUAAAACUAUUUUUCUACAGCUUG